rnacentral:rRNA from 1 species
UACGAAGGGGGCUAGCGUUGCUCGGAAUCACUGGGCGUAAAGGGUGCGUAGGCGGUUUGGUAAGUCUCGUGUGAAAUCUCCGGGCUCAACUCGGAGCCUGCACGAGAAACUGCCGGGCUUGAGUGUGGGAGAGGUGAGUGGAAUUCCUGGUGUAGCGGUGAAAUGCGUAGAUAUCAGGAGGAACACCUGUGGCGAAAGCGGCUCACUGGACCAUAACUGACGCUGAUGCACGAAAGCUAGGGGAGCAAACAGG